CCUGCUGACGCGGAGGGACAUUA
rnacentral:rRNA from 1 species